rnacentral:rRNA from 1 species
UACGGAAGGCAGCAGUGGGGAAUAUUGCACAAUGGGCGCAAGCCUGAUGCAGCCAUGCCGCGUGUAUGAAGGAAGGCCUUCGGGUUGUAAAGUACUUUCAGUCGUGAGGAAGGUGUUAAGGUUAAUAACCUUAGCAAUUGACGUUAGCGACAGAAGAAGCACCGGCUAACUCCGUGCCAGCAGCCGCGGUAAUACGGAGGGUGCGAGCGUUAAUCGGAAUUACUGGGCGUAAAGGGCACGCAGGCGGUUAAUUAAGUUGGAUGUGAAAUCCCCGGGCUUAACCUGGGAAUGGCAUUCAAGACUGGUUAGCUAGAGUCUUGUAGAGGGGGUAGAAUUCCAUGUGUAGCGGUGAAAUGCGUAGAGAUGUGGAGGAAUACCGGGUGGCGAAGGCGGCCCCUGGGACAAGACUGACGCUCAUGUGCGAAAGCGUGGGGAGCGAAACAGGGAUUAGAUACC